GAUGAACGCUGGCGGCGUGCCUAAUACAUGCAAGUCGAGCGAACAGACGAGGAGCUUGCUUCUCUGAUGUUAGCAGCGGACGGGUGAGUAACACGUGGAUAACCUACCUAUAAGACUGGGAUAACUUCGGGAAACCGGAGCUAAUACCGGAUAAUAUUUUGAACCGCAUGGUUCAAUAGUGAAAGACGGUCUUGCUGUCACUUAUAGAUGGAUCCGCGCUGCAUUAGCUAGUUGGUAAGGUAACGGCUUACCAAGGCAACGAUGCAUAGCCGACCUGAGAGGGUGAUCGGCCACACUGGAACUGAGACACGGUCCAGACUCCUACGGGAGGCAGCAGUAGGGAAUCUUCCGCAAUGGGCGAAAGCCUGACGGAGCAACGCCGCGUGAGUGAUGAAGGUCUUCGGAUCGUAAAACUCUGUUAUUAGGGAAGAACAAAUGUGUAAGUAACUAUGCACAUCUUGACGGUACCUAAUCAGAAAGCCACGGCUAACUACGUG
rnacentral:rRNA from 1 species